CCUAGUGGCGGACGGGUGAGUAACGCGUGAGUAACCUGCCUUUCAGAGGGGAAUAACGUUCUGAAAAGAACGCUAAUACCGCAUAACGUACAGUUACCGCAUGGUAGCAGUACCAAAGGAGCAAUCCGCUGAAAGAUGGACUCGCGUCCGAUUAGCUAGUUGGUGGGGUAAAGGCCUACCAAGGCGACGAUCGGUGGCCGGACUGAGAGGUUGAACGGCCACAUUGGGACUGAGACACGGCCCAG
rnacentral:rRNA from 1 species